GUGUAGUCAUACCAUCUACGUACGCGGGUCUGCACAUCUGUAGGAACGUUGUUUGUCCGCAUAUAUUUUUUAGCAUUGUCCUGAAAUAGGUGUGAAAUGUCAGACAAAGCUUACCGACAACAGAUGCAAAUAUGAAUACUCCAAUCAAGUAACCAACUAUCUGCACAGCGUAUCUGUGAAAUAAGAUUGCAUUGCACCGUUUGAACUUACAGCUGAACUUAAUAUCCCUUACCCCAUCGAACUCUCGGAAUUGUUUUUUUGUCGAAGACAUUUAUAAUAGAAUUGCAUUCACAAAUCGGAUACACAAAUGACAUGAGGGGUUGAGAUGUGGGGCUUUCGAUCUGUCUUAGCGGAAGCAAAAAU